CAGUGGGGAAUAUUGGACAAUGGGGGCAACCCUGAUCCAGCAAUGCCGCGUGUGUGAAGAAGGCCUUCGGGUUGUAAAGCACUUUUAUCGGGAACGAAACAUUGUCGGUGAAUAUCCGGCAAGACUGACGGUACCCGAGGAAUAAGCACCGGCUAACUUCGUGCCAGCAGCCGCGGUAAUACGAAGGGUGCAAGCGUUACUCGGAAUUACUGGGCGUAAAGGGUGCGUAGGUGGUUUGUUAAGUCUGCUGUGAAAUCCCCGGGCUCAACCUGGGAAUGGCAGUGGAUACUGGCAAGCUGGAGUGCGGUAGAGGGUAGUGGAAUUCCCGGUGUAGCAGUGAAAUGCGUAGAGAUCGGGAGGAACACCAGUGGCGAAGGCGGCUACCUGGACCAGCACUGACACUGAGGCACGAAAGCGUGGGGAGCAAACAGGAUUAGA
rnacentral:rRNA from 1 species